rnacentral:rRNA from 1 species
CCUACGGGAGGCAGCAGUGAGGAAUAUUGGUCAAUGGACGGAAGUCUGAACCAGCCAUGCCGCGUGCAGGAAGAUGGCUCUAUGAGUUGUAAACUGCUUUUGUACGAGGGUAAACCUGAAUACGUGUAUUCAGCUGAAAGUACUGUACGAAUAAGGAUAGGCUAACUCCGUGCCAGCAGACGCGGUAAUACGGAGGAUCCAAGCGUUAUCCGGAUUGAUUGGGCUUAAAGGGUGCGUAGGCGGAUUGAUAAGUUAGAGGUGAAAUGUCCGAGCUUAACUCGGGAACUGCCUCCAAUACUGUUGAUCUAGAGAGUAGAUGCGGUAGGCGGAAUGUAAGGUGUAGCGGUGAAAUGCUUAGAGAUCAUACAGAACACCGAUUGCGAAGGCAGCUUACCAAUCUAUAUCUGACGUUGAGGCACGAAAGCGUGGGGAGCAAACAGGAUUAGAUACCCUAGUAGUC